GAGGGUAGGUCCCUCGGGGUCGGCUUGCAGGAGCAGGCACCAAACCACCUUAAGCUGCUGCGGUUAAGAGUCGUGGUGGUGAGCGUUAAGGAAAAGGCACGGCAAGACCGGGUCAGGU
rnacentral:ncRNA from 1 species